rnacentral:rRNA from 1 species
UCGGGAAUAUUGCGCAAUGGAGGAAACUCUGACGCAGUGACGCCGCGUGCAGGAAGAAGGUUUUCGGAUUGUAAACUGCUUUAGACAGGGAAGAAACAAGACAGUACCUGUAGAAUAAGCUCCGGCCUAACUACGUGCCAGCAGCCGCGGUAAUACGUAGGGAGCAAGCGUUAUCCGGAUUUAUUGGGUGUAAAGGGUGCGUAGACGGGAAUGCAAGUUGGUUGUGAAAUCCCUCGGCUCAACCGAGGAAUUGCAACCAAAACUAUAUUUCUUGAGUGCUGGAGAGGAAAGUGGAAUUCCUAGUGUAGCGGUGAAAUGCGUAGAUAUUAGGAGGAACACCAGUGGCGAAGGCGACUUUCUGGACAGUAACUGACGUUGAGGCACGAAAGUGUGGGGAGCAGACAGGAUUAGAUACC